CGAGUGGCGGACGGGUGAGUAAUGUCUGGGAAACUGCCCGAUGGAGGGGGAUAACUACUGGAAACGGUAGCUAAUACCGCAUAACGUCGCAAGACCAAAGAGGGGGACCUUCGGGCCUCUUGCCAUCGGAUGUGCCCAGAUGGGAUUAGCUAGUAGGUGGGGUAACGGCUCACCUAGGCGACGAUCCCUAGCUGGUCUGAGAGGAUGACCAGCCACACUGGAACUGAGACACGGUCCAGACUCCUACGGGAGGCAGCAG
rnacentral:rRNA from 1 species